UUGUUGUUUAGGCAGCAUGUAUACUAAAAUUGGAAAGAUAUAGAGAAAACUAGCAUGGUCCCUGUGCAACAAUGACACAAAUUUGUGAAGCAUUUCAUAUUUUU
rnacentral:snRNA from 1 species